GUCUCCGUAGCAUAGUGGUAGUGCGUUCGCUUCGUAAGUGAAAGUUCGCGAGUUUAAUUCUCGCGGGGGCU
rnacentral:tRNA from 1 species